rnacentral:rRNA from 1 species
AGGUCAAGCUACAAAGGGCGCAUGGUGAAUGCCUUGGCACUAGGAGCCGAAGAAGGACGUGAUAAGCUGCGAUAAGCCUUGGGUAGCCGCAAAUAGGCUGAGAUCCAGGGAUUUCCGAAUGAGGAAA